rnacentral:rRNA from 1 species
AACGAACGCUGGCGGCGUGCCUAACACAUGCAAGUCGAGCGCGAAAGGAGCAAUCCGAGUAGAGCGGCGCACGGGUGCGUAACACGUGGAUAAUCUGCCUCAGGGUUGAGGAUAACCUUCCGAAAGGUUGGCUAAUACUCGGUAAGCUUACGGUGACUUCGGUCGCUGUGAGAAAACUAGACCUCUAUUUAUAAGUUUAGGCCCAGAGAUGAGUCCGCGGCCCAUCAGCUAGUUGGCGGGGUAACGGCCCACCAAGGCUACGACGGGUAGCUGGUCUGAGCGGACGAGCAGCCACACUGGAACUGAGACAAGGGCCAGACUCGUCCGGGAGGCAGCAGUGGGGAAUUUGACACAAUGGGCGAAAGCCUGAUGGGGCAACGCCGCGGGUGUGAUGAAGGUCUUCGGAUCGUAAAGCACUUUCGACUGGGACGAAAAACCGUUGGCUAACAGCCAGGGGCCUGACGGUACCAGGAGAAGAAGCACCGGCUAACUCUGUGCCAGCCGCCGCAGUAAAUC